UAAUGUUACAGCACAUUCCCGAUAGGAUUCAUUAAUGUGAAGAUGCCUUGUAACCAAAUAUUUGAAUGGGGGAAUUAUUGUG
rnacentral:sRNA from 2 species